GGGCCCGCACAAGCGGUGGAGCAUGUGGUUUAAUUCGAUGAUACGCGAGGAACCUUACCAGGGCUUAAAUGUAAGUUGCAUGGAUCAGAGAUGAUCCUUUCUUCGGACCACUUACAAGGUGCUGCAUGGUUGUCGUCAGCUCGUGCCGUGAGGUGUCAGGUUAAGUCCUAUAACGAGCGCAACCCCUAUCGUUAGUUGCCAGCAAGUAAAGUUGGGUACUCUAGCGAGACUGCCGGUGCAAACCGAGAGGAAGGUGGGGAUGACGUCAAAUCAUCACGGCCCUUACGUCCUGGGCUACACACGUGCUACAAUGGCCGGUACAGAGAGCAGCCACCACGCGAGUGGGAGCGAAUCUUCAAAGCCGGUCUCAGUUCGGAUCGCAGUCUGCAACUCGACUCCUUGAAGUUGGAGUCGCUAGUAA
rnacentral:rRNA from 1 species